rnacentral:rRNA from 1 species
CCUACGGGUGGCAGCAGUAGAGAAUAUUGCUCAAUGGGGGAAACCCUGAAGCAGCAACGCCGCGUGGAGGAUGAAGGUUUUCGGAUUGUAAACUCCUUUUGUUAGAGAAGAUAAUGACGGUAUCUAACGAAUAAGCACCAGCUAACUCCGUGCCAGCAGCCGCGGGAAUACGGAGGGUGUAAGCGUUACUCGGAAUCACUGGGCGUAAAGCGAGCGUGGGCGGGGUCGCAAGUCAGAGGUGAAAUCCUAGGGCUUAACCAUAGGACUGCAUUUGAAACUGGUAUUCUGGAGUAUGGGAGAGGGAGGUCGAAUUCUCGGUGUAGGGGUAAAAUGCGUAGAGAUCAAGAGGAAUACUCAUGGCGAAGGCGAGCUGCUAGAACAUAACUGACGCUGAGGCGCGAAAGCGUGGGGAACGAACAGGAUUAGAUACCCGGGUAGUC